rnacentral:rRNA from 1 species
UACGGGGGGAGCAAGCGUUGUUCGGAUUUACUGGGCGUAAAGGGCGCGUAGGCGGGUGCUCAAGUCCGUGGUGAAAUCCUCCGGCUCAACCGGAGAACUGCCUCGGAUACUGGGCGUCUCGAGUGUGGUAGGGGUAUGCGGAACUAUCGGUGGAGCGGUGAAAUGCGUUGAUAUCGAUAGGAACUCCGGUGGCGAAGGCGGCAUACUGGACCACCACUGACGCUGAUGCGCGAAAGCCAGGGGAGCAAACGGG